GCAUGGUUGUCGUCAGCUCGUGUCGUGAGAUGUGGGUUAAGUCCCGCAACGAGCGCAACCCUCGACCUUAGUUGCCAGCAUUCAGUUGGGCACUCUAAGGUGACUGCCGGCUAAAAGUCGGAGGAAGGUGGGGAUGACGUCAAAUCAUCAUGCCCCUUAUGACCUGGGCUACACACGUGCUACAAUGGGCGGUACAAAGGGUCGCGAACCCGCGAGGGGGAGCCAAUCCCAAAAAGCCGCUCUCAGUUCGGAUUGCAGGCUGCAACUCGCCUGCAUGAAGCCGGAAUCGCUAGUAAUCGCGGAUCAGCAUGCCGCGGUGAAUACGUUCCCGGGCCUU
rnacentral:rRNA from 1 species